rnacentral:lncRNA from 1 species
CUCUAGAUUUGAUGGACUUGUUUUGACCCUCAAAUUCUUCAGUCGGCCUUAUACUCUGGAGGAAACCAGAAAACCCUCCAGCUGAGUUCAAGAAUAAGCCUGUGGAAAGUUACUUCUUCAAAAGCAAAAGUAUCUCAUAUCAUCUCUUCUCAUUUUUCUUCUCUUUAUCCUUCAUGCUGCUGCAAGAUGGGGAGAAGGUGAACAAUCAGUCGGAGCUCUGAUUGCUUACCUUGUCUGUCACCUCUUUCAGCAGACCCCUAGCUCGGCCCCCUAGCUUCGGCGACUUGGGGGACUCCUACUACAUGGUUUGUAUCGCACUUGACCAAGCCUGAAACUACAAGUAAGCUUCAAGUGAAAUUGAUACAUUACCUUGUGCAUCUCCACCAGUUAAAGAUACCACCCCUGGAUGGAGGAAGAGUACUUCCAGAGAAGAUGCCACAUCUACCUAUGAGACAGAUAAGGCAAGUCAAGACGACACCACACUCCGAUACUUAGAAGUUUCGUGAUUACGAGAUCAUUCUCCCACAAUAUUUCCUAAUGUCAUUUGUACUAAAUCAUUCACUCGUACUCACUAAAGGAGAGCUUGAACCUAUGUACUUGUGUAAACCCUUCACAAUUAAUGAGAACUCUUCUAUUCCGUGGACGUAGCCAAUCUGGGUGAACCACGUACAUCUUGUGUUUGCUUUCCUAUCUCUAUCCAUUUAUAUACUUAUCCACACUAAUGACCGGGAGCAAUCUAGCGAAGAUCACAAAAAGCGACCGUUUUCGUUACCUAGGAUCUAUCUUGCAAGAGAACGGAGAAUUAGAUGGAGAUCUCAACCAUAGAAUACGAGCUGGAUGGAAAGAGUGCAUCCGGCGUGUUGUGUGACCGUCGUAGGCCACUGAAGCUCAAGGAAAAAUUUUAUAGGACGGCAAUAAGGCCAGCGAUGUUGUAUGGCAGAGAAUGUUGGGUGGUGAAGCAUCAACACAUACACACAAAAUGGGUGUAGCGGAGAUGAGGAUGCUUCGUGGGAUGUGUGGGCACACGAGAAAGGAUAAGAUUGGGAAUGAGGAUAUCCGAGGUAAAGUAGGAGUAGCCGAAAUUGUAGGAAAGAUGAGAGAAAAUCGGCUCUGGUGAUUUGGACAUGUGCAAAGAAGGCCGACUGACGCUCCGGUUCGAAGAUGUGACUACGGGACAGAGGUUCAGGGCCGAAGGGGUAGAGGAAGACCUAGGAAAACUUUGGAAGAGACUCUAAGAAAAGACUUAGAGUACUUGGAUCUAACGGAGGGCAUGACACAAAACCGAGCGCAAUGGCGUUCUAGGAUUCAUAUAGCCGACCCCACUUAGUGGGAAAAGGCUUUGUUGUUGUUGUUGUUGUUGAAUGGGUCAAGGUUGAUGUGGUAAGGAAUUUAUGGACAGUUGGACAAACACACACACACACACACACAUAUAUAUAUGUAUUAGUCCACCCUAUACGUAUUCUUUUGUCAAGCAUCUCCAAAGUUCUACCAUCUUAGAUACUGAUUGUUUUUCAGAAAUCAAACAUGCAAAAUUUCUAUGCAUGUUUUAAAAUUGGUUGUAGGAAGUAGGCUUCUAAGUGGAUAUUCUGUGUGAAGGUUGUUUUGGUCAGAUAUGCAAUAGAAAUUUGCAUCAUUGGGGAGUCUGGUGUCUAUCAAUGUUUAAUGGGCUUCUAGCUUUAAAACCCCACUAUUAGCAAGCAAGGCGAGGCUUAAAUUGUGGGUCAUAUGGUUGGUUAUUGAUUUUUUCUCAUGACAAUUCCAAUGUUUCUUUACGUAGAGCUCAUGAUUGUAUAUCAUGGGUUUCCAAUAAUAAAAAAAGCUUAACACACACGAUAAGAUAGCUUCCACUUUGUUAAGGUGUUUUCUUUUCUCAAUAGCAAUGAACCAUGCAGCCUACAUUUAUUUAUUUGAGAAAACUUUAGAAUUAGUCUUUGAAAUUUUUACUCUAGCAUCUCUUCAAGAAUAAAAGAACAAUUACCAAAUUAAAUCCCUAUAGACAUUGCUUAUAUCUUCAUCUCCGUAAGACCCUAAUCCAGAAUUCCCAGGGAUGCAAAAGAUUCCACAUAUGUUUGGUCAUUUUGCUAAAUUUCAUUAGAUUUGGCCCUCAAAUUUGAAAAAAACUUUCAUCUUGCUGUAAAUUUAAAUCUUUUCUCUCUGUGUUGGUCCAUCUCCUUAUAUUUGAAAGUCUCAGAAUUACUAAUAUUUAUUGUGUUUAGGAAUUUCAGGAUUUUGGAUUUUGGUUGGUUUAGGUUGCUGCAGAUGGGGGCUUUGGAUGUAAGGCGAUGGUUGGCAGACACUGAAAGGUUGAUUACCCUCCUUAUGGAAGGGACUUUGUGAACCUGCCUACUGGAAGGUUUUGCAAUGGCUGGUAAUUAACAAUAUUACCAUUUAGAUGCCUUCAGUUGUUCUUAUUGAAAGUAUUUAGUUGAAUUUUACUAUUUACAGCAAACCAUAUAAACAAUGAUAUGUAAUUCUAAGAGGAGAGAUUUAAUGGCAUUACCAUGUUUUUAGUUCGAUUCAAUGAUGCAAACUGUUAAUAUUAUUUUUGCGCAGAAUUAAUUUUCCAAAUUCACAUGACGGUGUUAAAAUUGAGAAUUGUUAAAAUAAUAUGAUUUACUUGGAAUCUGACGGUGUUAAACUGCAGCAAAUAAAUUUUUCCUAUUGUAUUGAAUUUUCGAAGGGCUUCCUUUCCACUUUUGAUAACUCGGCAGCUGCAAGCAAAGCGGAGAGUUUUUUUAUUCAAGAGCAACAAUCCAAAACAAUUUCCAUGGGAAGAGUCAUGGAUUCCUAUUUCUUAGCUCUCACUGCCAUUGUCACUGUAACACUGUCUCUCUCUCUUCCUUUGAAAGAUGAAUCUGAAUUUUUGAGCCCUGAUUUGUUAGUUACGCAGUCCUUGGAACGAAAUACAAACACAACUCGACAAAAGGUCUUCAUGUUGUCCCACAUUGGAGGAUUAUUAUAAAAUUUAUUAACUUUAUUAGGGUUUACAUUAGGCUUUUGAUCUCCAAAUAAUUCUUUAAAUUUGGUUCCCUUAUGGCUUGGAUAUGCAUACAAUCAUCGUUUGGAAUUUGGUUUUGAUUGCAAAUUUGGAAUUUGGUGUUUAUAACAUUUGAUUUUCUCGGAUUUUUUUACAUGUUUUUGUGGUGAUACAGGGGACGAAUUCUAGGAUGGAGGUGAAAGGAUUUGGAAGAAUCAGGUAUGCCUAUUCAUUCGCAAGGUGAUUGUUUUACAACUUAAAAUACCGUGCAAGUUUAUUUCACUAACAUUGCAUUGGUUUUUUAAUUUGAUAUGUUGUUUUGGUGUGUGACAAUCGAAGAACUUUUAAAUGUUUGCGAAUUUGGUUGACACUUAAGUGCUAUUCAUUUUGGUCAAGGCUUUGGUUUGUGGCCAGUUGGAAUUCAUUUUGCUAAAAUAAGAUAAAUUUUUUUUUGAGCAAAUUUGGGGUUUUGUUAGGUGUGGGGUUCUUUUGGCCUAAUUUUUUUUUAAUUGAUUUGGGGAUUUGUUUUGUUUGGUUUGCUAAGAUUUGGUUCCCUAAAAUUAGUUUUACAUGCAAUAAGAAUACUGCGGAUCAAAUUGUAGGUCCAAACAUCCCACUUUCGUUUGGAUGGGUUGGACAUCUUUUAGUUUAUGAAAGCAUCUUUGAAGGGAUCAAUUAUUUUUCUUCUUUUGUGGUUGAUUGAGGUGGGUUAUAGGAAUAAGGUGACGUUUUAGAGUUGAAAUUGUUUGUGUUUUUUGUGAUGCUCUUUCCUUUUCUUCUCAGUGAAAAAACAUACUAAAGUAACAACGCAAUAGUGGUGAGAAUAAGCAUUCUCAUGUAUCUAUGGAUGUGUGAUAUGAAUUAGGUGGAUGAUGUUGAAGCAUCAGUCAAUAAAAAACAAAUAGGAUCUUAGAUAGGAUUUUUUGCCACUGUAUCUUUUGUAAUCAGAUCGGUUGAAUGUAUAUAAAAGCCGAACUGCUUAUUUUACCGACACCUUUCACUCAUCUAUCCCUUUUGUUUGUUCAUGAUUAUGUUGAAUUUUUUUUUUUGAAGUUAAAUGUCUUAUACGUGUGGAUAAGACUGGUGCAUUCAAAUCCCGCGGCAACGCGCGGGCAUUUUUGCUAGUGAUCACUACAACUAAAUCUUACGGGCUAGAAAUUAGUAUUUCCAUCGAUUGGGAGUGAAUAUUCCAUUGGUGAAAUUUGGAAAUUAAACUCUCAUAUUCCCUCACAAAACAGGCAAUCUAAACAAACUGUAUUACCUUGUGAAGGGAUUCAAGCUCCUCGAGUGCGGCUUCCGAUUUUGGUACCUUAAGUGACCCUGCGUGAAUCUUUCCCAAAGCAUAACAAUGCCCUUUUUAUGCAAACUAUAACAAGACAUAAUGGUUAUAAGAGCAAUUCCACCCCUAAACACUUUGCGCCAGCACCUAGCGCAUUUAUCCACUCAAAUGAACAGUAAUAGAUCCCAGUGAAAAGUAAUAGGUCAAAACAUCUCCACCUCUAAAAAAAUGCCCUAGCACCCAGUCUAAAAAUGUGCUGGCACAAACGAUCUCCACCCUAUAAAAUGCGCUGGCAUCCAGCCCAUUUAAAAUAUUUUAUAUUUUUUUUAUAAAAGUACAAUUUUUUUUUUAAGUUUAUUUGGUGAGGUUAUGUAAUCUUAUUUGAUGUGUAUAAAUAAAGUACAAAAAAAAAUUGAAAUUGCAUAAAGUUUUAAAAAUAAAUAAGAAAUUACAUAAAGUACUAAUAAUAAAUAAGAAAUUACACAAAAUAAGAAAUUACAUCUAUAAAUAAAAAUAAAUAAGCAAUUACAUAAAGUACUAAUAAUAAAUAAGAAAUUACACAAGAAUUUAAAUAAAGUACUACAAAUAAAUAUGAAAUUAUACAAAGUCUCUGGAACUAGGAUAUGUGGUGCUAGGAUCUUCGUUGCUAGGAUUUGUGUAGCUAUAACCCCCUCGACUUGUUUCCGCAUCUCUUUCACGCCUCAUUCGCACGAUGUCUCUUUUUUCCGAUGUCCAAAAAUAUUUUGAAUUCGGAGACAAUCCUACUAGAGACUUGUUCAUAAUGUCACGAUCUGCUUGAGCUAUCAUUUCUUCUCUAAGCAUCUCAUUUUCUCGAUUAAGUGCUUCUCUAAUCAUCUCGUUCUCUCGAUUAACUAUUUCUCUUUGUCUCUCAACCGCCGCAUCACGUCUCUCAGUAGUUGCUAAUAUUGCUGCCAUAACAUUAACUUUUUCCUCAUCUCUAGCCGCUUCCGUGCCAUGUUCAGUUCACCUUGGCAAGCAAGUUCCUCCAUAUAUUUAGUGUAGUCAUUUUUGGAAGAACUACCUUUUUUCUUUGAUGCCUUUUUACCUUGAGCCCUGAGGGACUGACGAGUCGGUUGGGUCUCCGGUACUUCUUCAGGCGUCCCUUCCAUGUCUUCAAAUGUCUCGCCUUCUUGUUCAACCGUGUCUGCUUCUGGCGAACUGUGUAGACACAUGCCGUGCGUGACAACUUCUGGACCGGUUGCCACAAUUUUGUAUCUGGGGCAAUCUUUGACAAUUUCCCAACAUUCCCAUCUAUUGAAUGAUUUGUUGGUUCUUCGCAUUGUAGAAAGCUUGUGCUUGUAGUGUCUAUAAAUGUGGGAUAAGACAGUAUUAUAAAAAAUGUGGGUGUAACACCUAUAAAUAAAUUAAAAUAUUGAUGCGGGUGGAAUACAUAUAAAUAAAUAAAAAUAUGGUCACCUAAUCCGCUAAACUCGUCCCACUACGUAGACUACCGGAAGCAUGAGAGAUGGCGUUUUUCCAACAAGUAAAGGAUGCGUUGAGUUUUUUCCAACGACCAUGAAGACCUACAUUUUUUUAUUCCAUGUACAUCACAAAACGCUUUCCUAAUUUUACUCCACAUUUCUCGCUUAUCCAUCUCAUUACUCGUAAUCGGGUCAUGAGUUGUGUGAACCCAACAUUCGCACAAUGUAACAUCUUCAAUGACCUUCCACGUAGACAUUUUUUUCUUUCAAAGUGUAGAAAAUAUUGAAAUGUAGAAAGUAUAGAAAAUAUUGAAAUGUGGUGUAAGGUGGAAGAUGAGGGUUAGGUAUUUAUAGAAUUUUUUUUUUUAAUUUUCUGUAUUUUUUAAUAAUUUAUUUGUAUUUUUUCGUAAUUUUUAAUAAAUUUUAAUGUAGUUUGUUUUGUAUCAUACUUGAUCAAUCCCGAAACUACUAAGCACAAGUCAACGUUAUAUCGUCAAUGAUCCAUAAGAGUUUCCUUCCAACCAAGAGGCCAAUCACAGCGUGACACGUGUCGAUAUCAAAGGCCAAUCAUAGCGCGACACGUGUCAACAUCAGAGGCCAAUCACAGCACAACAUGUGUCAAAGUCAGAUCAAAGUUAGAAACUCUCUUCUAUAAAAGGAGAUCAUUAUCUCACAAUAUUUCCUAAUGUCAUUUGUACUAAACCAUUCACUAGUACUCACUAAAGGAGACCUUGAACCUAUGUACUUAUGUAAACCCUUCACAAUUAAUGAGAACUCCUCUACUCCGUAGACGUAGCUAAUCUGGGUGAACCACAUACAUCUUGUGUUUGCUUCCCUGUCUCUAUCCAUUUACAUACUUAUCCACACUAGUGAUCGGAGCAAUCUAGCGAAGGUCACAAACUUGACACUUUCUGUUAUACCAAAGUCCUCGCUAAUUUUGUGCAUCAAUAUUUGGCGUCGUCUGUGUGAAAUCGCACUUAUUCCUACUCUCUUCAGCUUUGUCAAGAUGGUUUCCACCAUUGGUACACUCUCUUUUAACUAGACAUUCCUCUUCAACAUGGGGAGCGAAGGAAGCCACAACACGCAGAACGACACCCCCUCACCUAGUGUGAAGCAAUGAAAGAAACUCGUUCUUCAAGCUAAAGUUGAGGAGCUAGAAGCUCAGAACAACAAGAUAGCAAUAAAGAAUAAGAUCCUUCAAGAACAAUAUGAGAAGCUCUUUGAGACGCUCCAUGAAACUAGGUGUACUCAAACACGCGAGCUUGUUGCCCCUGUGGACAUCAACCAUCAUCUGGGUGCCCCACAACACGAAAGGUCACCUUCAUUCGACAUAGGUAUCCCUGAUGAGGAGCGAGCUAAUCAUCAAAACAUUGAUCAACAUGAGACUUCUCUCAACCCAGCUAUUUCGACCCCAAGCAUGAGGAGUGGAGGAAGACACCUCUUUGCAGAAGGGUUAGAAGAAUCGAAAGUCAUUUAUCGUGACUGCCGAGACUUCCUAAAGCAACGUUGAGAUAAUCUCAUCCACAUAAGCUCGAAGAUCAAUGACCCAAGGGUUUAUGAAAAAACUCAGUCCCCUCCCACGACCCAGGCCAACUGCCAAUCUAGGGAAAGAACGACAGAUCCCAGAGGAACAGGAAGGUACAGGGGACUUGGAGGUAUUCCGACAGACUCGCCCUAGAAGUCAGUACAAUAAUUCCAAGGAAAAACCACACGCUCUUGCUCAAACUUUCCUACUUCCAAGAGGCGAUGGAGACUUAUAGAAGAAAAUUCCAGUGGUACAUGACUCCACUCAAGACCCCAUUGUCCUAUAACUCCUUGAGGAAGUAAACAAGUUGAAGGCCGAACGUCAGGUCGAGAUACCUGACUGGAACCAACUCAGGCCUAGCCCUCUCACAAAGAGGAUCCUCGACACCCCCUUCAAGCGAAGACAAAACAAAAGCUUGGUUUACAACUCUAUACUAGAAGGGAGGACACGAUUGAACACCUUAACCCCUUUGAGUCCACCUUGGCAUAUCAGAUGCACACCGACGAAGAGCAUUGUCUUUUCUUCCCUUCCACCCUAUCUGGCGAAGCUCUAAAUUGGUAUUGCCGUCUUUCACCCGAGAUAGUAAACUCAUUUGAGGAACUAAGGAAACUGUUUGUCUCUCAACACAUCUUCCAGACCGAUCGCUUACAUUUUGCAGAUGACUUGUACACUAUUCACUAAAAGCCGGACGAGUCACUACGAGAGUAUAUUGGUCGCUUCAGCCGUGAGUAUUCUCGCUGCGCUGAGGCAGAUGACAAGACCGCCUUCAAAGCCUUCAAUGCAGGCCUAUGUGAUUGUUUUUUCAAGUACAUGAUCAAUGCCAACACUUGGAAGACUUACUCUGAGCUGAUGGCACAGGCUUACAACCACGCCUCCGCCGAAGCAAUGACAUACCAAGGGAACCCCCAUAUGGUUAACCUCUAUCAACAAGUGGGAAGUGAAAGUCAAGUUCUACCAAGUGAGAAGAUCUUGGCCAUUCAGAUACCCAUUGCAUCAUCUCCUGCCUCAUUUAGCUACUCGCUAAGUCACCAAGCGUAUUUGUCUCUUGGUAAGAAGAAUGAUUUUUAUUCUCAGCAAGCCCAUUACAACAAGAGGGAUAAAAGUUCGUAUCAAGACAACCAGUGGUGAACGUACUAUCGACUAUUAUGACUAUAGGGCCAAGCCUCAUUCUUUCAAAGUCGAGAACUAGGUAUUAAAGGAAAUGCUAUUAUAAGAAGGCAUACUCAUUACAAAUGUUUUGACCCUCAACCAUUUAAGAUCUUUUGUCACACAAGCCAUUCAGCAAAUAUUUAAAGAAAAGGGAAUUCAGACAACUUCUUCUGAGUCUUUUGCAUUCCUAGCACUGGAACACUUGGUCUACGCAUACCUACCUCUAUACUCUAACUCAGAGCUUCAACAUGUGUACUUUGACAAAAAGUAUGUGAUACUAAGUGUUACAACCAACAUGGUUCACAUAUCGAAAACAUGGAUCCUUUCAUGCAUAACAAAGCAUUCAUAAGCAUCACUCAUGUCAAUCAACAUAAACAUCAUACAUUCCAACACAUUCAUCCAUAAACAUCAUACAUGCCAACACAUUCAUCCAUAAACAUCAUACAUUCCAACACAUCCAUACAUAAGCCAAUUGUGCUUUGAAAGGGUUUAACACACUUUGUGUCAUUUGACACUUGCUACAAUGUGCCUUGACACCUUGCCCUUAUUCUCACCAACUAAGUGAUGAAGGAACUCACCUUCAUGCCACAAACCAGGUGAUAAAAUGUACAACCCGUACUCUAAUAUUAUUUGGUAACUUGCCACUCUUAUCACCAACCAGGUGAAGAAAGAACUCACCUUCGUGCCACCAACCAGGAGAUGAAAUGUACAACUCGCACUCUGAUAUUAUUUGGCAACUUGCCACUAUUAUCACCAACUAGGUGAAGAAGGAACUCACCUUCGUGCCACCAACCAGGUGAUGAAAUGUACAACCCGUACUCUAAUAUUAUUUGGCAACUUGCCACCCUUAUCACCAACCGGGUGAAGAAUGAACUCAUCUUCAUGCCACCAACCAGGUGAUGAAAUGUGAUGAAGGAACUCACCUUCGUACCAUCAACCAAGUGAUGAAAGCAACUCACCAUUCAUUCCACCAACCAGAAGAUAAAUGGUACAACUUGUACAUGUGAACUCCUAGCAUUCACAAAUAAUCAAAAACCCUCAAGCUUUACAACUCAACUAAGAGAGCACUUAUGCCUAACAAGAUUUAUAGUCACCAACAAAGUCUUAUUACAAGCUAACAACGGCUUAAGUGCAUGGUAUACGAAGAUCAAGCUCUUCAGCCCUCUUGCAUCUGCUUCAGACAUUUCUCCUCUGUAACAAUGCAAACACUACAACUCGUAGAAAGCUUCACACACUCUUAAUCAAGACUGUUCGAAGCAAAUUCAAUUUAUAUGGUUGAUCCAAACCUUCGACUACUACAAGGUGUGGCUUGCACCACAAUCUCUUGCUUAACAGUGUGGAAGCAAAAUUUGUAUAUGUUGUCUCUCCUACAUUUUCAAAUUUCUAGUUUUCCCAGAAAAAAAAAAUGGGAAAUUCAACAACUUCAACAAAUGGAGGGCAACUACAAAUUCCAAAAGCUUCACACACUCUUGAUCAAGAUAGUGUGAAGCAAAAUCAAUUCAUGGUACCCAACAAAGCUUCACUACAAAGCUUCACCACAAAAGCUUCACCACAAAAGCUUCACCAACAAAAGCUUCAACAAAUGGAUGAGAACUACAAAUGUCAAAAGCUUCAUACACUCUUGAUCAAGAUAGUGUGAAACAAAAUCAAUUCAUGAUACCCAACAAAGCUUCAACCUUCAAAGCUUCACUACAAAGCUUCACCUCAAAGCUUCACCACAAAGCUUCACCUACAAAGCUUCAACCUUAAGAGCUUCACUACAAAGCUUCACCUCAAAGCUUCACCACAAAACUUCAACCUUCAAAGUUUCACCUCAAAGCUUCACCACAAAGCUUCAACAACAAAGCUUCACCUACAAAGCUUCAACACCAAAGCUUCAACUACAAAACUUCAACAUCAAAGCUUCACCUAUAAAGCUUUAAAAAUAUAUAUUUUUGUUCAAAAAUUCGAAGAAAAAAAAAUUCGAAAAUUCAAAAAUUCAAAAAAAAUAAAAUAAAAUUAAGGCCUAGGCCUCCCCUUCUUUGGACCUAACAACUUUCAUAACAAAUAUAUAUGAAUGAGGAGUUUUGGGCUACCACUUAGAAAGGAAAAUGGUGAAGUUUUGUUACUUUGGAAACUUGGCUACUAGCAAGACACCUCAUUCGUCAACUCCCUCAACUGAGGACUUGGGGGACUCCUACCAUAUGCUACUGCACCUUGAUACUCAGAAGUCUCACGACCAUUUAGUGACUUGGAUUUUUCAAGUUUCCAACCGAGAAAUUUUCCUUACUCGGGAAAUUAAGGGAGCACUAUUUCAACCUACAGGAUCCACCCACGAAGUUUCAACAUGCAAACUUCAACAAAAUAAAAAAUUCAAAGAACUUAGUGAAGGAUGCCUUAGUGUAUUUAACAUAAUACGCUGAAUGAAGUAAAAUUUAUUUAUUGAUAUCUCUCAUAAAUUACAAAUAUAUGCAUACACAUGCAUCAAAACAAACGAACAAAAGGGAGCCUUCACAAAGGUUGCUCAGGAGAAAUCUCAACAGUCGACAGAGCCCCAGAAAAAUGAGGCACCAAAGGGUGAUCAUUUGGAGCUUCAUUACGCGGUACAGCCCCAAAAGACGAAGGUAAUAAAUGCCUUUAGAACAAAUCCAUAAACCUCUGAUGAUCAAGUAAAAUUUGACCAUCAGAUUCCUGCAACUAGUUAAGCUUCCUCUUCAUGUUUGUAGCAUAGUCAUAUGCGAGCCUAUGCAAUUAUUUAUUCUCAUGCUUGAGCCAUCUGAUCUCCUGUUUGAGACUUAUCACUUUAGCCGCCAAUGAUUCAGCUUGGCGGGUUCGAGCAAAUAGGCGUUGGGCCAUAUUAGACACAGAACCUGCACACUGAACACUAAGAGCCAGAGAAUCCUUAACAGCCAACUCAUCAGACCGUUUGGAAAGUAAUCUGUUAUCUUUGGGAGUGAAAAGGUUCAUGGCCACCACCGCAGCGAUCAUAUCAUUCUUUAUCACAGAGUCCCUAACGGUAAGAGGACCAAUAGGGGAUAAGAAGGAUGGGCGCCAUAUGUUGUCUUGAGGAGGCAUGGCUGCCUCUUCACCAAAGUUCAAGUUAAAACGACGGUCGAAUGGGCCAGACAUUUUCAGAAAUGAUGAAGGAGAAAUGAGGUCCAAUAAAUCUAUGAAGUACGAAAAUAAAGGGAAAAUUCCUGCAAGUAAUAACUCUCUGAACAUACUUCUUGCACACAAUUGGUGCCCUUAUAAAAGAAAGGGCAUCAGACCCGUUUGUUCAAAAAUCGAAGAGGCACCACUCUCCGGAUUUCGAGAAGCAGAUUUUCCUGAGUAAAAUAUGUUGACAAUCCCCACACGCAACAUCAGCUCCUCGGGUACCACAGAUAACUUUGCCAAAGAUCUCUGACAAAGUUCAGACACAUAAAUUUUGAAGGUUCAGCUACCUUACCAUUACCCAUAAGGGUAAAGGAACAACAUCAUUGCUUGAUAACUGGAAAGUCCCUAUGUGUGUCAACCUCCGUGCUCCGUGGCAAGGUAGACUUGCAAAAAUACCCAACCUUUACUCACAUCGAGAAAACACUCCAAUUAGGAUUGCUUUCUCAAAAAUCGAAGAGGCACCGCUCUCCGAAUCUUGAGAGCCAGACUCCAACCAGGAUUGCUUUCUCAAAAAUCGAAGAUGCACCGCUAUCUAAAUCUCGAGAACCAAACUCCCACUAGGAUUGCUUUCUCAAAAAUCGAAGAUGCACCACUAUCCGAAUCUCGAAAGCCAGACUCACAACAGGAUUGUUUUCUAAAAAAUCGAAAAGGCACCGCUCUAAAUCUCAAGAGUCAGAUCCUCAAUAGGAUUGCUUGUUUAAAAAUUGAAGAGGCAAUGCUCUCCGAAUCUCGAGAGCCAGAUCCCCAAUAUGAUUGAUUGUUCAAAAAUCGAAGAGGCACAGCUCUUCGAACUUCGAGAGCCAUAUUUCUUUGGAUAAAAUUUGUCUGCAAUCUUCACAUGAAACAUCAGCUUUCCAAAUACCACAUACCACUUUUUCAAAGUGCUCUGACAAAGUUAAAACACAUGAAUCUUGCAGCUCCCACUACAUUGCUAUGACCGAGAAGGGUAAAGGAACAACGUUACAUCUCGCUGUUGGAACAAUUCCUAUAUAUGUCGACCUCCAUCCUCCACAGCCAGACAGACCUGCAAAUAAAAAAAAAAGCUCAACUUUUCUUCACAUCCGAGAGGGCACUCUCAGCAGAGUCUCUCAAAAUACUCAACUUUCCCCCCUGAUAAUACCUCUGCAAACAAGCCACACCAGAGCAAGAGUAUCUCAUAUCAUCAGGGUUAAAAGCAAGAGUAUCACAUAUCAUGCUUUUUCCCUGUCUUUUCCUUUGCCCUUGCUCUUACUUGCAGGACAAGGAGAAAGAACACAAUCAGUCGGAACCUGAAAUCAAACUUCCGAUCUGGAAUUGAUUGCCCGAAAUGUUUGCAUGGUUGCUUGCCUAACAUUGCUCUCGAGUACUCAUCCUUAAUUGUUGUCAAGGUCGCGAAUUCUUUCGGCAAAUACCUCAGAACAGUUGAUACAAUAUUGGCUCUUCACACUGAAGUUGCCAAGCAUGGAUGAGUCGCUGAGAAGUAGUGCUUUGAAUGACCAUUCAAAUGCAAAGGUUGCGCACCACUUAUGCGAUGCAAAAGAUUGAAGCAGAAGGGUUAACGAUGAGCUGAAACAGAUCACUAUAGCACGACGCGCUCCUUGCAGAACCGCAUAAUCCAAACGAAUGAGUCUAAGUCAAAUCUAAGCUCGACAUCGUUGCCCUAUCCGAAUAGCUCGAGAAGCUUCAACAACCUUUCGCUGACAUUGUUGCCAAAGAGCAAAGCCUCUUCAUGCCACAUCCACUACUUUGUCAACAACAAAAGUAUCCCAUAUCAUCAAGGUCGAACGAACUCUUGAUUUGAUGGACUGAUUUUGAUCCUCAAAUUCUUGAGUUAGCCUUAUACUCUGGAGGAAACUAGAAAACCCUCAAGCUCAAUUCAAGAAUAAGCCUGUGGAAAGUUACUUCUUCAAAAGCAAAAGUAUCUCAUAUCAUCUCUUCUCCUUUUUCUUCUCUUUAUCCUUUUUGCUGCCUGCAAGAUAGGGAGAAUGAGAAUAAUCAGCUGGAACUCGAAAUCAAACUUCUGAUUUGGGAUUGAUUGCUUGGAACUCUAAUUGCUUACCUUGUCUGUCACCUCUUUCGGCAAAUCCCCUCGCUCAGACACUUGGGGGACUCUUACUAUAGGGUUUAUAUCACGCUUGACCAAGUUCGAAACUACAAGUAAGCUUCAAGUGAAAUUGGUACAUUACCUUGUGCAUCUCUAUUGGUUAAAGAUACCACCCUUGGAUGGAGGAAAAGUACUUCCAGAGAAGAUGCCACAUCUACCUAUGAGACAUAUAAGGCAAGUGAAAACGAUACCAUACUUCGGUACUUAGAAGUUUCGUGAUUACUCAGUGGCUUGGAUCUUGCAAGUCCCUAACCGAGGAGCUUCCCUCACUCGGGAACUUAAGCAAGCACUGUUUGUACCAUACUUGACCAAUCCUGAAACUACUGAGCACCGAUCAACGUUAUAUCGUCAAGGAUCCACAAGAGUUUUCCUCCAACCAGGAGGCCAAUCACAGCAUGACACAUGUCGACAUCAGAGGCCAAUCAUAGCGCGACACAUGUCAACAUCAGAGGCCGAUCACAGCACGACACAUGUCAAAGUCAGAACAAAGUUAGAAACUCUCUUUUAUAAAAGGAGAUCAUUUUCUCACAAUAUUUCCUAAUGUCAUUUAUACUAAACCAUUUACUAGUACUCACUAAAUGAGAGUUUGAACCUAUGUACUUGUGUAAACCCUUUACAAUUAAUGAGAACUCCUCUACUCCGUGGACGUAGCCAAUCUGGGUGAACCACGUACAUCUUGUGUUUGCUUCCCUGUCUCUAUCCAAUUACAUAUUUAUCCACACUAGUGAUCAGAACAAUCUAGCGAAGGUCACAAACUUGACACUUUCUGUGUUACCAAAGCCCUCGCUGAUUUUGUGCAUCAACAUAGUUAAUUAAUCUAGACCGUUAGAUUUGAAAAAUAUUCAAAUCCAAGAGCCAAGGAGCUGCCACGUGGCCAAUGGUCAUAAUUUUGACCGUUGGGCCUUUUUAUUUUUAUUUUUGGGGAAAAAAUGUGGACCGUUGAUAUAUGAUCGACGGUCCAUAUUAAAAGUAAAAUUUAAAUUUUUUUACCGUUGGAAAUCCAACGGUCUAGAAAAAUUAGCCGUUAGAAAUCCAACGGCACUGAAAGGGCCACAUCGCCUACUUCCGAGUGAAGAACAAAUGGGUUGGCAGCAGGCCUCGCUGCCUGCACCCAUGUCCCUUACUCGCGCCCACUCGCGAGUGAACUGCACACGCCAGCCAAAUAGUCCAAUCUCUGGGUCUGUCAAAAAAUGGGCUAGUCUGUUACCUGGCUUGGGUUGGGUGCCAAGCAAGUUUGUGGGCUAGAGUGAAUGGACUGAUCCCCAGCUUGGUUUUUUGACUAGGUGCCGGCACAUUUGCACCCCAGUGGAAGUGCUCUAGUGGUUACCGGUAAAGAAUAAACAACAUGCAACACUCGAGAACAGUAUUUUAAUGUCACCUCCGUAAGGCUCUAAGCUGAAAUUUCAUCAUCCAUGUCAAGUGGGCUGCAAAUUGCAAUGAUAAUAAAUCUAAAUCGGUCAAAGUUUAACACAAAAACACUUAAGUUUAGAAGAUAUGCAUUAUGGUGAUAAUCAAUUUAUUCUGAGCACUGUCAGUUUAACAAAAAAAAGUCUAAGCAUGUUAUAUCCAGUUGCCAAGAAAAAAAAGAAGAAGAGUAAACCGUCAAUUUGCCCCCUGAACUAUCAUCCAACUUUCGAUUUUCCCCCUAAACUUUAAUUGGAAAAUUAAGGACUUAAUCUAAUUUUUUUGGCCGAUUUGUCCCCUACCGUUAGUUUUUCAUAGAUUUCAUCCAAAUUAACGUUAACUUUUAUCAUGAACAAACCACGUAACUCUCAUUUGUGGACAAAAACUUCACUUCACUAGACAUUCAGACACAAAAACUAUAGAAUCACACAUAUUUGCAUAUGUUUAUAUUUUAUAAAUCUAAGGUUUUCAAUUAUUUUAAAAAAUGAAACGACCGAAUUACCAACACAUGUUGUGUACAUACUUCUAUUUAACAGAAUUUUGGAUGGAAUGAAUGAAAAAUUAACAUCAGGGGCAAAUCGGCCAAAAAAAUUGGUUUAAGUCUUUAAUUUUUCAAUUAAAAAUUUCAGGGGAAAAAAUCAAAAGUUGGGUGAUAGUUCAGAAGGCAAAUCGGCACUCAAAAAAAAAAAAAACCAUCAACGCCACCUAAACUUUAAUUUUAAUUUUAAUUUUUUUUAGAAAUCUCAAACACAUUUCAUCCUGAUCUAAUUACCACACUAAGCAAUGCAGUCCAAAUAUAAACCAAAAUUCAACCAAAACAAUCAAAACCCACUAACAAAACACUUCACACAGAUCCAAUCAGAGCAAAAACCCAGAUUCAAUCACACACACAAACCCUCAAAUUAACACAACCCAGAUGCAAAAUCCCCAAAUUUAACUGAAACCCGCGGCUCAGAAGAAGGUAAAAGAUUACCUUGCCAUCGACGAUGAGGCAGCAGUCCUUGCGAUCAUUGUGAGUGGAGACGUCAGCCAAAGUGUAGACCUUUUUUAAGGGCCAGAUCCCAGACUUGUGGAUUUGGUGGAAGGGAUUCGGAGUCCUUUCCGUUGAAAAUCUCAUCUCCUCUCCUUUCAGCCCUUCAAGGAAAACUCACUUCUUGGGCCGUCUUCAACCACGUAAAGCUUCACUCUUUUAUUAAUUUUUGUGUUUAAAAUUGUUGGGGUUUGCAGUUUUGGAUUGAAAUUUGUGUUUUGGGAUUUGUUGGGUGCUCACAUGUGGAAAUUUGGAAAGUUUUAGUUGUGGAUUGUGGGGAACUGACGCAGUGGCGGUCCCAUUUCAUGUAAGUUGCUUUUGUUUUUCUGUUUUUGGUGAAAUAAUGAUGAGGAGGGUUGGAUAGUUGGACUGGUUUUAUUUUUUAUUGUGAAAUUAGAGUGGGAUCGAUCAAGGUUGAGACUUUUUUAGGUAAGUGUAAUUGUGAAAGUUAUGUUUCUACAAAUUUUUUGGCGAAUUUUGUGACUUGGUGGAUUUGGAAUUUUGGUUAUAUUAGAUAUAUGUGUAAAGAAAAUAGUUGAACUGCAUGAAGCUUGAUGUAAUUCUGGUUUUAAUCAAUGUUGGACUUGGGAAACCUAGUGAAUCUACUAUUAGUUGAGAAACUUAAAGGAGCUUGAGGGGUAAUGAGGGUUUUAGGUAUUUAGUAACAUUCAGGCCAUGCUUGAUGUCUAUUUGAUGUCAGCGUAUCGAAAAUGCUUGAACAAAGAAGAAAGGUGCUCGAAGAGCUGCAGUGGUUAACUACUUGGUUUGAUUAGAUUGCUAUGUUAAUCAAAAUGUCCCCUGUAGUAUGUUAUAGGGUUAAUGUUUUACAUAAGUGUUCUUUAGCGACUUGGUUUCAAAAUUUUCGUUUUCGUUUGACUUUCCUUGGUCUGUGAGGCCAAUGGUAGAAUGAUCAUGGAAAUUGUUUUGUCUUAAUAUCUCUGGUAAGAGCAGGCGUGCAUUCUUAAAGGACUUAGUUGUCAUUCUUUUAAGCUGUUUAAUGUGCUCAUUUCAGUAUGCAUCAUCCAAAGUCUAUAACUGCUAAAAGUAGCACUACAAGGGUGAUGGAACUAUCAUCUGUUUGGAAGUAAGAGCUAUAGACAUGCCCCAUAAGGGUCAAUAGGUCUCAGUUGCAUAUCUAACUUGUUUCUCAUUUGUUUUCAUUCCUGAAGGUUAGAAAAGAUGGGUGCUCUAGAUGCGCAGAGAGUGGUUCAUCAACACCAAGGUGGCGGCUGAUCUCAUGUAUGUGGUUACAUGCUGGAGUUUUCCACGUGCUUGCCAAUAUGCUGAGUCUUGUAUUCAUUGGAAUUUGGCUUGAGCAAGAAUUUGGAUUUGGUAUACAUCUGGAUUUUUAGCUUCAUGUAUGUUAUCAUGCAUGUAUGGCCACAUCCAUAAGUGUUUGUAGUAAAAGAUAAAGCACACGACAUAAGUUGUAGAAUAAUAAAUUACUUACCAAGUGCAAAACUUCUUUCAUAAAUCUAGAAGAGAAACACUUUCCGGAUGGCGUUAGCUACCUUGGGAUUAAUCUAUAGAGGAUUUCCUAUGCAUUUGUUUAUUGAAUUGCAAUCCUAGAGUAGUGGUCAUAUAGUACUGGUUGCGUUAUAACUUACACCGAUAUGUUGUUUGGUUUGAUGUAAACAAGAGGAUGUUUUAUUCAGCGGUGAGCAAAGAAAAGAGUUUAUACACCGAAUAUGGGGUUCAAACUUUAGUUUUAGACAUAGUAUUCCAUUUUACAGAAUAAAAUUGCUUGAAACAGAAGCUGAGAGAUUAUUUCAGUUUUCCAUCACAUUUGUGUGAACAAAGAUUGUUUUGGAUAUCCUGUACAUGUAGACAUGGCGCCUCAUUUUGAAAUGUUUCAAGAUGCUGUCUAUUUGAAAAGAUUGAAAAAAUAAUAGUUUGAGGCUGAUCUACAUCAUGUACAGUUGUUUUGAUGAACUGUUUUAACUAAUUGGUUUGAAAUUCUAAUGUUUUUCUGAUUUGUUCUUUGGCAGUUCGAAUUGGUUUCCUAUAUCUCAUGUCUGGUUUUGGUGGGAGUUUGCUUUCAGCUCUUUUUAUUCAAUAUGGUAUUUCUGUUGGUGCUUUUGGUGCACUUUUUGGUUUAAUAGGAAGCAUGCUUUCAGAGCUCACAUGAAAUUGGACAAUGUAUGUAAAUAAGGUAAAAAAAAUUCCGUAUACUCAAUGAUGCACCUCUUUAUAGUAUGUGCACGGCCCUUUGAUCUUACAGUUUCAGAUUUCGACCUGCAGUUAGCAGCAUUGCUUACUCUCCUUUUCAUCAUCAUAAUAAACUUAGCAUUGGAAAUUCUACCACACAUGGACAACUUUGCUCAUAUUGGAGGAUUUGUCUCCGGAUUUCUUCUUGGAUUUUUGUUUUUGAUCCACCCACAGUUUAAAUGGCUUACCCAAUGGAAUGCUCCCCCUUGACGUGUUACUACUCCAGUUAAAUCUAAACACAAGACGUAUCAAUAUGUAUUUCUGGGUCCUCUCUUUGAUACUAUUGAUUGUUGGGUAAGCUCCUCCUCAAUCUCUGAUUUAACUGUUUGACUUCAUGAACCUAAUCGACUCCAUGCAUGAAAAUCUGGUGGCCACAGUUGAAGUGUGCACAAUUUUUUUUUUAUCAAAUCAGAGAACUUGGGAGCAGCCUCUCCAUAAAUGGGGGUAAGGCUAGCCGACAUUCACCUCUCCCAGACCCUGCGUAAAGCGGGAGCCUUGUGCACUGGGUACGACCUUUAUCAAAUCAGAGAACUGGAUUUUGUGUAGAUAUGUAGAUAUCAUGUGUCCUGUAAUAUUUUCAUUGCGAAUAGGCUAUCUGCUUGUUUCUCAUCAGAAUGGUUUGGAGAAGGCAUUGUGUUAUCACUAUUCUUUGUGUAGUACUAAUUGAUCACUUUGUUGGUAGCGGCUUCUACUUUGUUGUUUUAGAUUGCAUAUGUUGGCAGUACUUUGAUGUUUUGUUAUUGGAAAUAAAGGUUCCUUUUCCUCGUAUUUGUGUAGUAUCAGUAUAUGCAAGCAUUUUCUGACAGAAGUCGUGUUUUUGACAGGUAUACUCUUGGCUUGGUUACUCUUUUUCGAGGGAGGAGGGGGAGGGCGUCAGGUAGUCGACAACCAGCACUCCAUGAUCAUGUCGAAUCCUUAUGAAAAUGAAUCCAGAACGAAAUUGCGCUAAAGCUAGGGCGUCACCCGUAAGUGGCGCGCUGUGUGGCCCGAGCACAAUGAUAAGUGAGCAAGGGUCGCUGUAUCUCCAUCGGCACCCGGAUGCAGUGGUAAAUGAGCAAGGGGGCUAUAGAAACUUCUUUUCGAACGACUCCACUCAAAGUUGUUUGGGAGCAUAUGCUCCUAUCAACUUUACACGGGACACACAAAAGAAGUACUUUGAUCCUAUUAGACGGGGAAGGGUGAAGAAGCUAGGACAGAAGGGUAGAGUUCAAGAGAGCAAAAUGCGUUUAGGAUCGUGGAAUAUAGGAACAUUGACGAGAAAAUCUAUGGAAGUAGUAGAAGUUAUGGUGAGAAGAAGGAUAAAUAUUAUGUGCCUACAAGAAACUAAGUGGGUUGGGCGUAAGGCAAAGGAUCUAGAAAACUCAGGGUUUAAACUAUGGUAUUCGGGCACAAAUAGAACGAGAAACGGUGUUAGCAUCAUCGUGGACAAGACCUUGACACAAGAUGUUGUAGAUGUCAAGAGGGUAGGAGAUAGAAUCAUGGCAAUCAAGAUUGUAAUAGGACAAGAACUUAUCAAUGUGAUUAGUGCGUACGCACCUCAAGUAGGGUUGGAUACGAGUUCGAAGGAGAAAUUUUGGGAAGAUCUUGGAGACUUGGAGCAAGGAAUUGCUCAGACGGAGAAGUUAUUUAUAGGAGGAGAUUUAAAUGGACACGUGGGCAGGGAGACAGGCAACUAUGGAGGUUUUCAUGGUGGCCAUGGUUUUAGGGAGAGAAACGAGGAUGGGGAAGCUAUCUUGGAUUUUGCAAUGACAUAUGAUCUCUUCUUAGCCAACACCUUCUUUAAGAAGAGAGAAGAACAUAUGAUCACCUACAAGAGUGGGUCGUCAAAAACACAAAUAGAUUUUCUUCUAAUGAGGAAAGGGGAUCGUAUAACUUGUAAGGAUUGCAAAGUUUAUACCAGGAGAGAGCGUGGCUAAUCAACAUCGCUUGUUGGUGAUGGAUGUACAUAUCAAAACGAGUGAGAAAAAAGAACAAGACUUGGAAGUGCCCAAGGACUAGAUGGUGGAAUCUAAAAGAAGAAAAACAAGUCAUUUUCAAAGAGAAAGUAAUCACCCAGUGUGUGUGGGAUAGAGAGGGGGAAGCUAACCAAAUGUGGGAUUCCAUGGCUAGUUGUAUCCGAAAAGUAGCAAAAGAGGUAUUAGGAGAGUCCAAGGGCUUUGCCCCACACCAAAAGGAAUCUUGGUGGUGGAAUGAGGAGGUACAAACAAAGGUGAAGGCUAAGAAGGAAUGUUGUAAAGCCUUAUACAAGGAUAGGACCGAUGAAAAUGGUGAAAGGUAUAGAAAAGCGAAGCAAGAGGCGAAGAAAGCUGUGAGAGAAGCUAAGUUAGCGGCUUAUGACGAUAUGUAUAAGCGACUAGAUACCAAAGAAGGAGAGUUUGAUAUCUAUAAACUAGCUAGAGCAAGGGAAAAGAAGACAAGGGACCUAAACCAAGUGAGGUGCAUCAAGGAUGAGGAUGGAAAGGUUCUUGCUACAGAGAGAACGCGGUUAAAGACAGAUGGAAAGGUUAUUUUCAUAAUCUUUUCAAUGAAGGACAUGAAAGGAGUGCUUCUUUAGGGGAGUUGAGUAACUCAGAAGAGUGUAGAAACUACUUUUUUUAUCGUAGAAUCCGGAAGGAAGAAGUGGUUGUAGCUUUGAAGAAGAUGAAGCAUAGAAAAGCAGUAGGCCCAGACGAUAUACCAAUCGAAGUGUGGAAAGUUUUGGGAGAGACAGGUAUAACAUGGCUCACUGACCUUUUCAAUAGGAUUUUGAAAACGAAGAAGAUGCCAAAUGAGUGGCGAAUGAGCACUUUGGUGCCUAUCUACAAGAAUAAGGGCGAUGUACAAAAUUGCAUGAACUAUAGGGGUAUUAAGCUAAUGAGUCAUACAAUGAAGCUCUGGGAAGAGAGUCAUUGAGCAUAGAUUGAGGCAAGAGACACGGGUUUCGGACAACCAAUUCGGGUUCAUGCCAGGGCGCUCAACCAUGGAGGCAAUCUAUCUCUUACGAAGAUUGAUGGAAAAGAUAUAGAGAUGGGAAAAAGGAUUUACACAUGGUCUUUAUAGAUUUGGAAAAAGCGUAUGAUAGGGUCCCAAGAGACAUUCUUUGGAGGAUUUUAGAGAAGAAAGGAGUACGAGUAGCAUAUAUCCAAGCUAUACAGGAUAUGUAUGAAGGAGCAAAGACUGCCGUAAGAACUCAUGAAGGACAAACCGAAAGCUUUCCCAUAACUGUAGGAUUACAUCAAGGCUCAUCCUUAAGUCCUUACCUUUUUGCGUUGGUAAUGGAUGAGUUAACAGGACAUAUUCAAGAUGAUAUUCCUUGGUGUAUGCUUUUCGCAGACGAUAUAGUGUUGAUAGAUGAAACUCAGGAAGGGGUAAAUGCAAAGCUUAACCUUUGGAGAGAAGUGUUGGAAUCUAAAGGUCUUCGCCUAAGCCGAUCAAAGACAGAAUAUAUGGAGUGCAAGUUCAGUGCAAAUGGAGGCCAAAACGAGUUAGGGGUGAGGAUCGGAGAUCAAGAAAUACCAAAGAGCGACCGUUUUCGUUACCUAGGAUCUAUCUUGCAAAAGAACGGAGAAUUAGAUGGAGAUCUCAACCAUAGAAUACAAGCUGGAUGGAUGAAGUGGAAGAGUGCAUCCGGCGUGUUGUGUGUGACCGCCGUAUGCCACUGAAGCUCAAGGGAAAAUUUUAUAGGACGGCAAUAAGGCCGGCGAUGCUGUAUGGCACAGAAUGUUGGGCGGUGAAGCAUCAACACGUACACAAAAUGGGUGUAGCGGAGAUGAGGAUGCUUCGUUGGAUGUGUGGGCACACGAGAAAGGAUAAGAUUAGGAAUGAGGAUAUCCGGGGUAAAGUAGGAGUAGCCGAAAUUGAAGGAAAGAUGAGAGAAAAUCGGUUACGGUGGUUUGGACAUGUGCAAAGAAGGCCUACUGACGCUCCGAUUAGAAGAUGCGACUAUGGGACAGAGGUUCAGGGCCGAAGGGGUAGAGGAAGACCUAGGAAAACUUUGGAAGAGACCCUAAGAAAAGACUUAGAGUACUUGGAUCUAACGGAGGACAUGACACAGGACAGAACACAAUGGCGUUCUAAGAUUCAUAUAGCCGAUCCCACUCAGUGACUUGGAUUUUCCAAGUCUCCAACCGAGAAGUUUUCCUCACUCGGGAAAUUAAGGGAACACUACCUCAACCUACAUGCUCCACUCACAAAGCUUCAACAUACAAGCUUCAACAAAAGAAAAUUCAAAAGAACUUAGCGAAGAAGGCUUUGGUGUAUUUAACACAAUACGUUGAAAUGAAGGAAAGCUUAUUUAUUGAUAUCCCCGAUAAGUUACAAAUAUGUACAUAUACUUGAGUCAAAAUAAACAAACAAGAGGGAGCCUUCACAAAGGUUGCUUAGGAGAAGUCUCAGCAGUCGGUAGAGCCCCAGAAAGAGAAGGCACCGGAGGGGGAUCAUUCGGAGCCUCAGUACUGGACAGAACCCUAGAAGGAGGAGGCAUCAGAGGUUGAUCAUUUGGAGCUUCAUUACGCGGUACAGCCCCAGAAGACGAAGGCAAUAAAUGCCUUUGGAACAAACCCACAAAUCUCUGAUGAUCAAGUAAAACCUGACCAUCAGAUUCCUUCAUCUGGUCAAGCUUCCUCUUCAUGUUUGUAGCAUAGUCAUGUGCGAGCCGGUGCAACUGUUUAUUCUCAUGCUUGAGCCCUCUAAUCUCCUGUUUGAGACUCAUCACUUCAGCCGCCAAUGAUUCAACUUGGCGGGUUCGAGCAAAUAGGCGUUGGGCCAUAUUAGACACAGAACCUGCACACUGAACACUGAGAGCCAGAGAAUCCUUAACAGCCAACUCAUCAGACCGUUUGGAAAGUAGUCUGUUAUCUUUGGGAGUGAGAAGGUUCCUGGCCACUACCGCAGCGGUCAUAUCAUUCUUCAUCACGGAAUCCCCAACGGUAAGAGGACCAGUAGGGGAGACGAAGGAUGGGCGCCAUAUGUUGUCUGGAGAAGGCGGGGCUGCCUCUUCAACAAGGUUCAAGUCAAAACGACGGUCGGAGGGGCCAGACAUUUUCAAAGGUGUUGAAGAGAGAAGAGGUCGGACAAAUCAAGAUCUUAGAAGUGCAAGAAUGGAGCUUCUACUGGUGGAUAUUCAAGUGUGCUUUGGAACUUAAUGUCAGCCCCUAUAAAAAUCUGCACUCGACGAAGCUUCAGAAAUCGAAGAGGCGCCUGCUCAGAAAUCGAAGAGGCGUUUGCUUUCUCAAAAGCUGGGCUGCUCAGAGACCACGAGGGUCGAUCUCAGAAAUCGAAGAGGCGUUUGCUUUCUCAAAAGCUGGGCUGCUCAAAGACCACGAAGGCCGAUCUCAGAAAUCGAAGAGGCUUGCUUUCUCAAAAGCUGGGCUGCUCAGAGACCACGAGGGCCGAUCUCAGAAAUCGAAGAGGCACCUACUUUUCCAGCCUUGUCAGCACCUGUCACACGCACACUCAGCUUUGCGGAAAAUUAUGGGCAUUCUGUCGAAGAUUUCUGGCGAAGUAGAAAGCACAUGAAUCGUACUGUUCAAUCACCCACUUCCCACACGCAACAGUAGCUCAUGGGUACCACAGAUAACUUUGCCAAAGUUCUCUGACAAAGUUGAGACACGUGAAGCUUGCAGCUCCCACUACAUCGCUCUGACCAAGAAGGGUAAAAGAAUUAGCAAAGAAACAACACUAACAAAGUUUAGACACAUAAAUUUUGAAGGUCUAGCUACCAUAUUAUUACCCACAAGGGUAAAGGAACAGUACCACUGCUGGAUAAUUGGAAAGUCCCGGUGUGUCAACCUCUGUGCUUCGUGGCAAGGUAGACUAGCAAACAUGCCCAACCUUUACUCACAUUCGAGAAAACACUCCCAACAAGAUUGCUUGCUCCAAAAUCGAAGAGGCACCGCCCUCCGAAUCUCGAGAGCCAGACUCCCAACAUGAUUACUUUCUCAAAAAUCGAAGAGAGGGUAAAGGAACAGUACCACUGCUGGAUAAUUGGAAAGUCCCUGUGUGUCAACCUCUGUGCUUCGUGGCAAGGUAGACUAGCAAACAUGCCCAACCUUUACUCACAUUCGAGAAAACACUCCCAACAAGAUUGCUUGCUCCAAAAUCGAAGAGGCACCGCCCUCCGAAUCUCGAGAGCCAGACUCCCAACAUGAUUACUUUCUCAAAAAUCGAAGAGAGGGUAAAGGAACAGUACCACUGCUGGAUAAUUGGAAAGUCCCUGUGUGUCAACCUCUGUGCUUCGUGGCAAGGUAGACUAGCAAACAUGCCCAACCUUUACUCACAUUCGAGAAAACACUCCCAACAAGAUUGCUUGCUCCAAAAUCGAAGAGGCACCGCCCUCCGAAUCUCGAGAGCCAGACUCCCAACAUGAUUACUUUCUCAAAAAUCGAAGAGACACCGCUCUCCGAAUCUCGAGAGCCAGACCCCCAGCAGGAUUGCUUUCUCAAAAAUCGAAGAGGCAUCGUUCUCCGAAUCUCGAGAGCCAGAUCCCCGACAGGAUUGCUUGUUCGAAAACCGAAGAGGCACCACUUUCCCAACUUCAAGAGCUGGAUCUCCUUGGAUAAAGCUUGUCUGUAAUCUUCACACGCAACAUCAGCUUUCCAGAUACCACAGACCACUUUUUCAAAGUGCUCUGACAGAGUUAAAACAUGUGAAGCUGGCAGCUCCCACUACCGUGCUAUGACCAAGCAGGGUAAAGGAAUAGCAUUAUUACUUGAUGUUAGGGAGACUCCUAUAUAUGUCGACCUCCAUCCCCUAACGGACAGGCAGACCUGCAAAAAUGCUCAACCCUUUCCUCUUAUCUGAGAGGGCACUCCCAACGAAGCCUUUCGAAAUAUUCAGCUUUCUUUCCCCCCCCCGAUAAUACCUCUGUAAACAAGCUAUACUAGAGCAAGAAUAUCUCAUAUCAUCAGGGUUAAAAGCAAGAGUAUCCCAUAUCAUGCUUUUUUCCCUGUCUUUUCCUUUGGCCUUGUUCUUACCUGCAAGACAAGGAGAAAGAGAGCAAUCAGUCAGCACUUGGAAUCAAGCUUCCAGCCAGGAACUGACUGCCUGGAACCCCUUACCUGAUUACUUACCUGGCAUUGCUCUCGAGUACUCAUCUUCAACAUCUUAUGCUUCCAGGGAAGAUACCGCAUCUGCCUGAGGAACAGAUAGGGCAAGUGAGAAGGAUACAAGGAAGCAUGUGGAGACAAGCGUAACAGCACACGUGCCGAUACAUCCACUACUCUGUCAAAAGCAAAAGUAUCCCAUAUCAGCAGGGUCGAACGUACUCUAGAUUUGAUGGACUUGUUUUGACCCUCAAAUUCUUCAGUCGGCCUUAUACUCUGGAGGAAACCAGAAAACCCUCCAGCCCAGUUCAAGAAUAAGCCUGUGGAAAGUUACUUCUUCAAAAGCAAAAGUAUCCCAUAUCAUCUCUUCUCAUUUUUCUUCUCUUUAUCCUUCAUGCUGCCUGCAAGAUAGGGAGAAUGUGAACAAUCAGCCGGAGCUCUGAUUGCUUACCUUGUCUGUCACCUCUUUCAGCAGAUCCCCUAGCUCGGCG